CACUAGAUGUCUGAAAGUAAGUAAUGGUCUCUUAAACCAUCAAUAGUAAAGUUACACCUACUUCUAGUG
rnacentral:tRNA from 1 species